UCCUACGGGAGGCUGCAGUAGGGAAUAUUGGACAAUGGGCGAAAGCCUGAUCCAGCAAUGCCGCGUGAGUGAUGAAGGCCUUAGGGUUGUAAAGCUCUUUUACCCGGGAUGAUAAUGACAGUACCGGGAGAAUAAGCUCCGGCUAACUCCGUGCCAGCAGCCGCGGUAAUACGGAGGGAGCUAGCGUUGUUCGGAAUUACUGGGCGUAAAGCGCACGUAGGCGGCGAUCUAAGUCAGAGGUGAAAGCCCGGGGCUCAACCCCGGAACUGCCUUUGAGACUGGAUUGCUUGAAUCCGGGAGAGGUGAGUGGAAUUCCGAGUGUAGAGGUGAAAUUCGUAGAUAUUCGGAAGAACACCAGUGGCGAAGGCGGCUCACUGGACCGGCAUUGACGCUGAGGUGCGAAAGCGUGGGGAGCAAACAGGAUUAGAUACCCGGGUAGUCCAC
rnacentral:rRNA from 1 species